CACCAUGUGCAUGUAUGAUCCAUUUUGACUUAAUUUUUGUAUAUGGUAUAAGGGAAGAGUCCAACUUCAUUCUUUUGUAUGUGGAAAUCUGAUUGUCCCAGAGUAAAAAUUACUCUGCUUUACCAGCCCUGUUUUAAAAAAUUUUAUGUGUGUAUGUGUAUAUGUACUUAUUACAGUUUUGUUUUCUUCCCUUUUAAGGAAAAUUUCAAAAAUGUUUCAAAUUCCCGUGGAGAAUCUUGACAACAUCAGGAAGGUACGGAAAAAGGUGAAAAGCAUUCUUAUGGAUAUUGGGCUUGACAGCUGCAAGGAGUUGCUGAAGGACCUUAAAGGCUUUGAUCCAGGAGAGAAGUACUUUUAUAACACAUCAUGGGGAGAUAUUUCUCUCUGGGAACCUUCUGGAAAGAAAGUGAGAUAUCGAACAAAACCAUACUGUUGUAGCCUCUGUAAAUACUCCACAAAAGUGCUUACUUCAUUCAAAAAUCAUUUACAUCGUUACCAUGAAGAUGAAAUUGACCAAGAGCUGGUGAUCCCUUGUCCAAACUGUGUGUUUUCCUCUCAACCCAGAGUUGUGGGGAGGCACUUCAGAAUGUUUCAUGCACCUGCUCGGAAAGUCCAGAACUACACUGUGAAUAUUUUAGGUGAAACUAAAUCAUCUAGGAGUGAUGUGAUAAGUUUUACAUGUUUAAAAUGUAACUUUUCAAACACUCUGUACUACAGCAUGAAGAAGCAUGUGCUGGUAGCCCAUUUUCACUACUUAAUUAAUUCCUACUUUGGCCUGAGAACUGAGGAGAUGGGUGAGCAACCAAGAGCUGACGACCCCCGUUCUACAGAGAAGAUGCCCCCAUCCGACAGGUAUUACUGUAAAAAGUGCAGCGCCAACGCCAGCAGCCAGGAUGCUUUAAUGUACCACAUCUUGACGUCGGAUAUACACAGGGAUUUGGAGAAUAAGCUUAGGUCUGUGAUCUCAGAACAUAUUAAGAAGACUGGACUUUUGAAGCAAAUGCAUAUUGCUCCAAAACCAGCUGCACGUGUGGCUGUACCACCCAACAGCAGUGCUCCGGGCAUCCCAGCCACAUCUCCUUGCUUCCACCUGGCCUUGCCACAGAACAGUCAGAGCCAAACUGUGGUACAGCCAGUUCAGGGUGCACCCCCCCCGGUGACUGGGGCCUCGGGCGCUUCUGGAAGCCUCACCCACUCCCCGCCUGCCGUUGCCCAGUCUCAUGUGACUCUGGUCUCCAGUCCUCUGCCAGUGGGCCAGAGCAACCUUACUCUGCCGCCCUCAACACCUCAGCCUGUCUUUCUCUCUCAUGGAGUUCCACUUAAUCAGGCAGCAAACCCUCCUGCGUUGCCCUUGAGUCAGCCAGUGGGACCUGUAAAUAAGUCGGUCGGAACCGGCGUCCUCCCCAUAAAGCAGACCAUCCGCCCGGGGGUUUUGCCGCUCAGCCAGCCUGUUGGGCCCAUAAGCAGACCAGUUGGGCCUGGAGUUCUCUCGGUAAAUAGACCUGUUGUGUCCGGUGUCCUUCCUGUCAAUCCCUCUGUCACCCCUGGAGUUCUUCAGGCGGUCUCGCCAGGGGUGAUUUCUGUGAGUCGGACAGUCCCGUCAGGGGUCCUUCCUGCGGGACAGAUGACCCCUGCUGGGGUUAUCCCUUCAGGACAGACAGCAACUUCUGGGGUUCUCCCUGCUGGCCAGGUGGUUCAGUCAGGGGUUCUCCCCAUUGGCCAGACAGCGCCAUCGGGGGUGCUCCCCACUGGGCUGACAGUCCCGCCGCGGGUCCUCCCUCCUGGCCAGACGGUCCCACUGAGGGUUCUCCCUGCAGGCCAGGUAGUCCCACCUGGGCUCCUUCCUCCCAACCAGACGGUCUCGUCAGGUGUUCUCCCUGUGAACCAGGGUAUUAACUCUGGUGUUCUUCAGCUCAGUCAGCCUGUCGUGUCAGGGGUCCUUCCUGUGGGCCAGCCAGUGAGGCCGGGGGUCCUGCAGCUUAAUCAGUCUGUGAGUACCAACAUCCUGCCUGCUCAUCAGCCCAUCAGACCCGGGGCUUCGCCAAACACCGCUUUCCUAACAUCAGGCUCUAUUCUCAGACAGCUGAUACCCACAGGGAAACAAGUGAAUGGGAUUCCCACAUACACACUUGCCCCAGUAUCUGUCACUUUGCCUGUGCCCCCUGGAAGUGUCGCCACUGUUGCCCCCCCCCAGAUGCCCAUCCAGCUCCUGCAGUCGGGCACGGCUGCACAGAUGGCCAGCUCCAUGGCCAGCCUGCCCUCCCCACCAGUGGUGGUAAAUGCCACUCAGAAUAUGUUCGUUCAGCCUUCUUCGUCUGUGGCAGAGGCAAAUCAGGUGCUCAAACAGGCAAAGCAGUGGAAAACCUGUCCAGUUUGCAACGAGCUCUUCCCUUCCAAUGUCUACCAGGUCCACAUGGAAGUGGCACAUAAGCACAGCGAAUCCAAAUCCGCUGAAACACUGGAGCCGGAAAAGCUGGCGGCAUGUGCACCGUUUCUAAAGUGGAUGAGAGAGAAAACAGUUCGGUGUUUGUCCUGUAAGUGCUUAGUCUCAGAGGAGGAGCUUAUCCGCCACUUGCUGGUGCACGGCCUGGGGUGCUUGUUCUGCCCGUGCACUUUCCAUGAUAUUAAAGGCCUCUCAGAGCAUAGUAGGGUUAUGCACCUAGGGAAGAGGAGACUGCCCGUGGACUAUAGCGACAAAGGAUUUCAGCUGGAUGUCGAUGCCAAUGGCAGCCUGCUGUUUCCCCACCUCGACUUCAUCACCAUCUUGCCCAGGGAGGAGCUGGGUGAGCGGGAGGUCUACUUGGCCGUGCUGGCUGGGAUACACUCCAAGUCACUGGUGCCCGUGUACAUCAAAGUGAGGCCGCAGACCGAGGGUGCGCCCGGGAGGCCUGGCAACCAGGCGCUGACCUGCCCUUUUUGCUUCGGCACCUUCGUGACGGCUGAGGCGUACGAGCUGCAUCUGAAGGAGCGGCACCACAUCAUGCCAACGGUGCACACGAUUUUGAAAUCCCCGGCUUUCAAGUGCAUCCACUGCUGUGGGGUUUACACGGGCAACAUGACUCUGGCAGCCAUUGCCAUACACCUGCUGCGCUGUCGGAGUGCUCCAAAGGACAGCAGCUCAGGCCUGCAGGUCCAGCCUAAUUUUAUUGAGAACAGUGAACUGCUUUUAGUCAAUGGUGAGGUGAUACACGACUCCAGUUUUUCUGUAAAGAGAAAGAUGCCUGACAGCCAGUUUGGGGCUGAGGAGCAGAGGGAGGGCGAGGAGCGGCCUGUCCCCACGAGCGCUGACAGAGAGCCAUCCCCGGAGAAGGCGACGAGCGCCGUGCCUUCUAAAAGACAGAGGAGCGAAAGCAGGACGGAGGCGCCCCUUGUUCACGACGACGCUCUCCAGGUUUUAGCGUUAAAUCCUAAAAGAUAUGAAGACCGUUCUUACGAAGAAAAAAAGCAGUUUCUUAGAGAUUAUUUCCACAAGAGACCAUAUCCCAGUAAAAAGGAAAUAGAACUGUUAUCCUCACUCUUAUGGGUGUGGAAAAUUGACGUGGCUUCAUUUUUUGGAAAAAGAAGGUAUAUUUGCAUGAAAGCAAUAAAAAAUCACAAGCCUUCUGUACUUUUAGGCUUUGAUAUGUCUGAACUUAAAAAUGUUAAACACAGAUUGAACUUUGACUAUGAACCACAAAACUUGUAAAAAAAAAUUAGGAAAUCUAAAGUACUAGAUACUUAGUAGUCUUUUUCAAUUGAGAUUUUUAAAAAUGUUAUUUUCUUCACUGUAUGUUGAACUAAUCAAUUUCAGUGGUCUUUAUGCUGCUCUUUAGAUUUAUUUCAGGUGCUCAGAAAGACUUUUAUAUAAAGAACUGAAUAGUUCUUUCAAAUUUAUUGUUUCCUGCAGCUUGAUUUUGUAACAGUUGUUUUUCAUUUUUUCCUCUGUCAUGUAAAUUAAAUCUUUUGAUAUUUCAUGCAUGCCUUGUUUUCCCAGUAGUGUCAGUAUCGUAUGAUAAAAACUGAAAUCUAUAUAUGUUUGUUUUUCAUUUAAGGAAAUUUCAGCUUGUUUCAGAAUACUUGAUUAACUGCGAAUUAAAACUGCUCUCCCUCAGCUUCACAAGUAGCAGCAGAUGAUACAGUAAAUGUUUAGAGAAACGCACACGUAGCCCUUUAGGGUGUCGAGAUAUACAGGGCAUCCUGAUCCUAGAUGGUUACAGCACCAACAGUAACAGUGCCCUCUGUGUGCCAGAUUUUAUAUGUGCUUUCAAAUAACUAACUGGAGUGGCUACGUACAUCAAUAAGACAACUUACACAAAAGAAGGAGGGCAGCUGAUGCAGGAAUUUCUGAAGCUCACUGGGGAAGCCUAAGUUUAGCCGGGCCAGUGGCUCCUCCCCACUCCAGUCACAUGACUCCAGGCAUGUUAGCAGAGGCCUUUUCACUACGUUCAGCUCUAAGGAUACAUAUUCAAAACCUCUUGAUCACGUGCAAUGGUGGCAUGCUAAGUAUGCAAUGCAGCCACUGAAGAUGGCGACCAGUGUGGUUGUGGACGGGCACUUGUAGCCACGAGGUACCUCACUCAUCCAUUCGUCAUUCCCAGCUACUUCAGUGGUGAUGCCAGAGGGAGCAGACUUGCCUCAGGUGUGACCUGAGCCCGAAUCCAGCACCUGUGCCCUGUCGACUAAGAAACGUGCCUUCCUGAGCUGCUUCCUUAACAAAGGUUCAUACUCCUUGUGCCUUAUACGUUGUUUGAUGGUAAAUGAGGCUUUCUUUAAAGGCAAGUUUUGAGAGUUGCAAUAAGAAAUAGGUGUGAUUUUUUUUUGGAUGUUUCAGUAGAAAAUGUUUCUGAGAGUAUGUAUUUUGCAUUUGCUUAGUACCUGCAGUUUGCUCACCUGAGUCUGACAAUCCUGUGGAAGAGAUAAGUUAGGCUUUGCUUCUUGCUGAUGAGCAAACCGGCCCAGAGAGGUAAAUGACUUUUCUUAGGCCAUAUGAUACGGUGGUUGGCAGAGCCAGAUCUAAGUUGGAGUUACUGACUUAUUUUCUAGCAUACACUACCUCUCCAUGAAGAUAAGUCUUUAAAAAAUAAUGUUUUAACGUGGGAUAACAGAUGACCUCAGUGAGAGAGAAACGGGGAAGCUGCUCAAUCAACCCGAGUGCAGCCGAGGUUGCUCACUGGUGGAGGGGAGGGAGAAGAGGCCGGCAACACCUGCAAGCACUUGAAGCAGCACCUGAAAGUGGGGUCCUUGUAACAGGAAUCCCACAGGCCUGCUGCUUUAAACUGAUGUGAUUCCCACAAAUCGAAGGAAGCGGCAAACUGACGCAACUUAUGUUUGACUUUCAGAUUCUCCAGCAGCGUUUUUCAACCUGGGAAGGGCCGAACACCCUACAAAGGUUAAGGAGCGUGAGAAAGAAACACUUUCAAAGCUGGACAGCCCUAAAGCCCAAGCGAAUCGCAAGCUGCUAACAGCAGUGCACGUGACGGCGCUAUCUCCACCCCCGACCCUGACGUCAGCAGACCUUCCCGUGGGCUUCAGCGAGGACGGAUUCUGCUCUGGACAGCCCAGAACUUACUUGAAGAAAGCGUUCUGCUGUUUGAAGAGGUUCAGAGAAAAUUAAAGUCUCCGGCUCCACCAAAACCCUAGGACACUAGCUCCACCCCUUCAGCAGAGGCACAGCCCAGAGGCGAGGACGAACACCUCCAGGGCGGCUGGAGCACCUUCUUCUGACACUGGCUGCCCUUCCAAGGUGGGUGAUAGUAUCUCACUCAUCGCUGUGCCAGCUGGGCUUGUGCAAGGACAGUGUAAAAAGCUUCGUUCUUUAAAACCUGUAGAGUCUGAGUGGCACAUGAGUCCUGUCUUUGCUGCAAGGGUCUGGGGUUCAUUCCGUGCUUUUCCUUUGGGUACUGAAUUCUGCAUUCAGUUAGGAAGCAUCACAUUCAAGUUAUUCCUUGUCCCCAGACCUCACUGCCCUCACCUUUCUGCCUGGAACGCUCCAAACCACGCUUAAAGCAGCUACUCCUUCUGUUCCUCAAACUAAGACCAGCAUGAUCCUUAGAUGCAUUGUCGAGAAAUUAAUGUAAUCUGGGAACGUGUCAUGUGACCUUUAAGGCCCGUUCAUACACGGACCCCAAAAUGGUUCGUUGCUCCACAUAUUCUUGGUUAUCAGACCACAGGUCAACAGGGCAGUGUGUGUGUGCAAAAGGAUGUUUGUACACAGGCACCUGAAGAGAGAGGGAAGGAGCCUGGAUGAACAAAUCAGCUAAGAAUCCAAAGCGUUAUUUCUAGACUGCUUAUGACCAGAAAUUUGUACUCGUUUCCUUUUUUCCCCCAAUUUAAAAAAUUGUUAGAAUACACGUAAUAUAAAAUUUACCAUCUUAACCAUUCUUAAGUGUACAGUUUGGUGGCAUUUAAAUACAUUCACAUUGUUGUGGAACCGUCACCACCAUCCAUCCAGGGAACAUUUUUAUCUUCCCAAAUUGAAACGCUGUCUCUAUUCAACACUAACUCCCAUAUUUCCCCUCCCCCAGCCCCUGGAACCCAGCGUUCUACUUUCUGUCUCUAUGUAUGAUUUUGCCAACUCUAGUGAUCUCCUUUAAAUGGAAUCAUUCAGGAUUUGUCCUUUUGUGACUGGCUCAUUUCACUCAGCAUAAUUCCUCCAGUUUCAUCCAUGUUGUAGUGUGUGUCAGAGUGUC